rnacentral:lncRNA from 1 species
UUUGCCAAAUACAGCUAAGGUAAUCUAUGCCUAAGGCAGAAAAGCCUUAGUAUUUCAAAAAAUUAAAAAAAUUGUAAACAGUAAAAUUAUAAAUAUAACCCUAUCAAUGACAAUUCAUGUCAGCACAAAAAGUGCUGACUACUGGGCUUGUGAUACCCUCGGGGAAAUAAAUCUCCACCAGCAGUGGCAUCGACCCAGUGGUUGUAAAUAAAC